rnacentral:rRNA from 1 species
GGGUUGUGAGGUUAAGCGACUAAGCGUACACGGUGGAUGCCCUGGCAGUCAGAGGCGAUGAAGGACGUGCUAAUCUGCGAUAAGCGUCGGUAAGGUGAUAUGAACCGUUAUAACCGGCGAUUUCCGAAUGGGGAAACCCAGUGUGAUUCGUCACACUAUCAUUAACUGAAUCCAUAGGUUAAUGAGGCGAACCGGGGGAACUGAAACAUCUAAGUACCCCGAGGAAAAGAAAUCAACCGAGAUUCCCCCAGUAGCGGCGAGCGAACGGGGAGCAGCCCAGAGCCUGAAUCAGUGUGUGUGUUAGUGGAAGCGUCUGGAAAGGCGCGCGAUACAGGGUGACAGCCCCGUACACAAAAAUGCACAUGCUGUGAGCUCGAUGAGUAGGGCGGGACACGUGGUAUCCUGUCUGAAUAUGGGGGGACCAUCCUCCAAGGCUAAAUACUCCUGACUGACCGAUAGUGAACCAGUACCGUGAGGGAAAGGCGAAAAGAACCCCGGCGAGGGGAGUGAAAAAGAACCUGAAACCGUGUACGUACAAGCAGUGGGAGCACGCUUAGGCGUGUGACUGCGUACCUUUUGUAUAAUGGGUCAGCGACUUAUAUUCUGUAGCAAGGUUAACCGAAUAGGGGAGCCGAAGGGAAACCGAGUCUUAACUGGGCGUUAAGUUGCAGGGUAUAGACCCGAAACCCGGUGAUCUAGCCAUGGGCAGGUUGAAGGUUGGGUAACACUAACUGGAGGACCGAACCGACUAAUGUUGAAAAAUUAGCGGAUGACUUGUGGCUGGGGGUGAAAGGCCAAUCAAACCGGGAGAUAGCUGGUUCUCCCCGAAAGCUAUUUAGGUAGCGCCUCGUGAAUUCAUCUCCGGGGGUAGAGCACUGUUUCGGCAAGGGGGUCAUCCCGACUUACCAACCCGAUGCAAACUGCGAAUACCGGAGAAUGUUAUCACGGGAGACACACGGCGGGUGCUAACGUCCGUCGUGAAGAGGGAAACAACCCAGACCGCCAGCUAAGGUCCCAAAGUCAUGGUUAAGUGGGAAACGAUGUGGGAAGGCCCAGACAGCCAGGAUGUUGGCUUAGAAGCAGCCAUCAUUUAAAGAAAGCGUAAUAGCUCACUGGUCGAGUCGGCCUGCGCGGAAGAUGUAACGGGGCUAAACCAUGCACCGAAGCUGCGGCAGCGACGCUUAUGCGUUGUUGGGUAGGGGAGCGUUCUGUAAGCCUGCGAAGGUGUGCUGUGAGGCAUGCUGGAGGUAUCAGAAGUGCGAAUGCUGACAUAAGUAACGAUAAAGCGGGUGAAAAGCCCGCUCGCCGGAAGACCAAGGGUUCCUGUCCAACGUUAAUCGGGGCAGGGUGAGUCGACCCCUAAGGCGAGGCCGAAAGGCGUAGUCGAUGGGAAACAGGUUAAUAUUCCUGUACUUGGUGUUACUGCGAAGGGGGGACGGAGAAGGCUAUGUUGGCCGGGCGACGGUUGUCCCGGUUUAAGCGUGUAGGCUGGUUUUCCAGGCAAAUCCGGAAAAUCAAGGCUGAGGCGUGAUGACGAGGCACUACGGUGCUGAAGCAACAAAUGCCCUGCUUCCAGGAAAAGCCUCUAAGCAUCAGGUAACAUCAAAUCGUACCCCAAACCGACACAGGUGGUCAGGUAGAGAAUACCAAGGCGCUUGAGAGAACUCGGGUGAAGGAACUAGGCAAAAUGGUGCCGUAACUUCGGGAGAAGGCACGCUGAUAUGUAGGUGAAGUCCCUCGCGGAUGGAGCUGAAAUCAGUCGAAGAUACCAGCUGGCUGCAACUGUUUAUUAAAAACACAGCACUGUGCAAACACGAAAGUGGACGUAUACGGUGUGACGCCUGCCCGGUGCCGGAAGGUUAAUUGAUGGGGUCAGCGCAAGCGAAGCUCUUGAUCGAAGCCCCGGUAAACGGCGGCCGUAACUAUAACGGUCCUAAGGUAGCGAAAUUCCUUGUCGGGUAAGUUCCGACCUGCACGAAUGGCGUAAUGAUGGCCAGGCUGUCUCCACCCGAGACUCAGUGAAAUUGAACUCGCUGUGAAGAUGCAGUGUACCCGCGGCAAGACGGAAAGACCCCGUGAACCUUUACUAUAGCUUGACACUGAACAUUGAGCCUUGAUGUGUAGGAUAGGUGGGAGGCUUUGAAGUGUGGACGCCAGUCUGCAUGGAGCCGACCUUGAAAUACCACCCUUUAAUGUUUGAUGUUCUAACGUUGACCCGUAAUCCGGGUUGCGGACAGUGUCUGGUGGGUAGUUUGACUGGGGCGGUCUCCUCCUAAAGAGUAACGGAGGAGCACGAAGGUUGGCUAAUCCUGGUCGGACAUCAGGAGGUUAGUGCAAUGGCAUAAGCCAGCUUGACUGCGAGCGUGACGGCGCGAGCAGGUGCGAAAGCAGGUCAUAGUGAUCCGGUGGUUCUGAAUGGAAGGGCCAUCGCUCAACGGAUAAAAGGUACUCCGGGGAUAACAGGCUGAUACCGCCCAAGAGUUCAUAUCGACGGCGGUGUUUGGCACCUCGAUGUCGGCUCAUCACAUCCUGGGGCUGAAGUAGGUCCCAAGGGUAUGGCUGUUCGCCAUUUAAAGUGGUACGCGAGCUGGGUUUAGAACGUCGUGAGACAGUUCGGUCCCUAUCUGCCGUGGGCGCUGGAGAACUGAGGGGGGCUGCUCCUAGUACGAGAGGACCGGAGUGGACGCAUCACUGGUGUUCGGGUUGUCAUGCCAAUGGCACUGCCCGGUAGCUAAAUGCGGAAGAGAUAAGUGCUGAAAGCAUCUAAGCACGAAACUUGCCCCGAGAUGAGUUCUCCCUGAC